GACGAACGCUGGCGGCGUGCUUAACACAUGCAAGUCGAACGGAAAGGCCCUGCUUUUGUGGGGUGCUCGAGUGGCGAACGGGUGAGUAACACGUGAGUAACCUGCCCUUGACUUUGGGAUCACUUCAGGAAACUUGGUCUAAUACCGGAUAGGAGCUCCUGCUGCAUGGUGGGUGUUGGAAAGUUUCGGCGGUUGGGGAUGGACUCGCGGCUAAUCAGCUUGUGGGUGGGGUAGUGGCUGACAAAGGCUUUGACCGGUAGCCGGCCUGAGAGGGUGACCGGCGACAUGGGGACUGCGAUACGGAGCAGAGUGGAACGGGAGGCAGCAGUGGGGAGUCUGGCACAAUGGGCGGACGUGUGGUGCAGAGACCUCGGGUGCGGGAUGACGGUUUUCGGGUUGUAAAACGGUUUUGGCUGUGACGAAGCGUGAGUGACGGUAACGGGUAAAGAAGCACCGGCUAACUACGUG
rnacentral:rRNA from 1 species